UCUGAGAAGCUUACCUUGUGUUCUUUUCAGGUUAUGUUACAGCUUGUUAGCCCGAUGCUGGAAAUAGAAACAGUAUCGAAUGAAAGUUGGUUGACUCUCCACACAGUAAAAGCAUUUCAUUUGGAUAUUUGGAAUUGCUCAAGAACGCUGAAGAGGAAGAAUUUCUAGGGUUUCUUCAAAAGAUUCCUCUCGGGUUUGAUCAACACUCUGAAUAGCUAGAAGCAAAAGAAAGAUAUUUUUUCGGGUGGAAAUUCAACAACUAGUCACUCUUUCCUUCCUUUAGU